rnacentral:lncRNA from 1 species
UUGGUACGAUACAUCAAAUUAAAAAUUCUAGUAAGUCCGAUUACAUGAUAGUCUAACCUUGUAUUUCUUUAACCUUGGAGCCUACAAAAACAUUCUUCAACAUAUUCAAAAAUCAUUCAAAGUUCUUUCCAGUGAAGUAUGCGCACAAAUUAACUGAUAAAGUAAUUAAUCCACGAACCAUUGAGCAAGCUAAAGUCAAACUAGCUAUUUGUAUUUUUUCAUGACUCUGAGGACGUAUGAAAAUAUGAAUUUAAUAUGGGGAGAAAAGGCAAACUUUUUGUCCUUGAUAAAAGAGUUCUGGUGUCGCAUAAAUUUAAAAAAUAAAUCCGAAGCCAUCGUUUGAAAGAUAAUAGAAGGGCAGUUGUUGAUUUUAGGGAUUGUGAAACCCUUAUUAUUUUCAAACAAUUUGUUAACUGGAUUUGUAAAUAGGAUAACUUAAAUAAAUUAGGUUUAAGCAAGAAAACUUUUUACACUCUGAAACAUUCGUCGGCUAGUGAGAUUGAACUUUCAAUAUAUUUAUUAAAAUUCAAAGAAAUGGAUUAUGUUCUUCUAGGAAAGAUCUGAAAUUUCUUUUCUUAGUCCAAAUCGAGUCCUCCUGGAGUUCGAAGUCUCAAUUUAAUAAACGUUAACUACAACCCAUGUUGGAAUUUCCAAUUCUGAUUAAAAACAGCACGCACUUUUAAUAGGUUGCUUGAGCUAUUCAAGUCCUAUAGUAAAAUAUAUCUUUGGAUUUUGUCGUAUGACAUCUUGGCCACCUUUUUAUGUUUUUCUAUUAUCGGCUCGAACUUUACAGUUGUAUCUCGAUCAGAUUAAUUAUAUAACAUAGGAGAAGAAGAAAAAAGGAAUAAUGAUAAAGGGGUAAUCUGUAAUCUUGUACUGUUUAUAUAUUAUUAUAACCAAGGAGAAGGAGUAAGAAAUCACGGAUCUGGGAUGCUGAAUCUAUUUCGAUAGGACUCAUAGACUUGUGGGUUGUCAAUGAAUCAUAAUCGUCCCCUUAGAUGUGUCUUUAAGAAAUGGAACAAAAUUUCAUCGAUAGAAAGAAUGGAAUAUUUAUUGAUGAAUCAUAGCUCUUUUCCGAGGAUGGUGAAUAGCCUCUUAUUUCUCCACCGUAUCUAUUUUUACUAUCAACGAGAUUAAAUAAAUCACAAAGUUGCAUCUCUUUUCUUGGAUUCAUCUCACUUGGCUUUAGUCUUAUCCAGGGAUCACUAUUAAUAUAUAUGAAGAGUGAACGUCUUUUAGAAAAUACAUAGGUUGACAUAAACAACCUUUAGUAUAUCUACGUAACAAAGCAAACUGCUUGAUUUGAUAAAAGAUAAUAAUCUAAUUAAUUAUUCGACUAAACGACUCUUUUUUUUUAAUUUGUGUAUUCAUGAACAAGGUUCGUUUCCCAAGUGGAAUCCAUGUAUUCGUCUUCUUGCCUCUUUAUUCGUUGAGGACUCAUAAACGAGGUUCGACUGACUAUCAUCCUUAUUUAAUAUUUUAGAUGGUGAUCGUAAAGAAAUUCAACCUUCGGAGUAUACAUUUUAUUCACCAAGGACUGACUCACGAAGAAAUAGAUGAGCUCAUAUCGUGAUCAGUCUCACGUGAAUUAAUAUAAUAUAGACUUUAAUAAAUUCAUGAAUUAGCUCUUGACCUUUGAUUGAUACUGAUGGAUGAUUAACUAAAGGAACUUUCGAUGAAAUCCUAACUAAAUAAUGAUUGUUUCCUCCGUUUAAGGAUUUGUGUAAGGAUUAUGUGUUUACUAUUAUUCAAAAAACAUUACAUUUUAUAAUUUUACAGACCUAUUCAAUUAGAGAAUAAUAAUCACGUUACAAA